rnacentral:piRNA from 1 species
UUUAAUGUUCAUCGCUAGUGU